rnacentral:rRNA from 1 species
UACGAAGGGGGCUAGCGUUGUUCGGAAUUACUGGGCGUAAAGGGCGCGUAGGCGGCGUGUCAAGUCAGGCGUGAAAGCCCCCGGGCUCAACCUGGGAACCGCGCUUGAGACUGGCAUGCUCGAGUUCGGGAGAGGAUGGUGGAAUUCCCCAGUGUAGAGGUGAAAUUCGUAGAUAUUGGGAAGAACACCGAUGGCGAAGGCAGCCAUCUGGACCGACACUGACGCUGAGGCGCGAAAGCGUGGGGAGCAAACAGG